rnacentral:rRNA from 1 species
UACGGGGGGCAAGCGUUGUUCGGAAUUACUGGGCGUAAAGGCGCGUAGGCGGCCUUCUAAGUCAGACGUGAAUCCUCGGCUCAACCGAGGAACUGCGUCUGAUACUGGAAGGCUUGAAUCCGGAGAGGAUGUGGAAUUCCAGGUGUAGCGGUGAAAUGCGUAGAUAUCUGGAGGAACACCGGUGGCGAAGGCGGCGUUCUGGACUGCAACUGACACUGAGGAACGAAAGCCAGGGAGCAAACGGG